UCCGUUCGCGCACAAAUCGUUUCGUUGUUACUAUCGGCGGACCCGGGUUUCCGAAAAUCCGGAUUUUUUUUUUCCGCUCGUCAACCUCGCGGCGAGGCGACCUUUGCCGGAAGACGAAAUUAUUAUUAUUAUUUACAUUUCGCGUUUUCUCCGCGAAAACCCCCGCGGCGCGUACACUCGCGAAUGCGCUUUUAAUUUUUUU